rnacentral:rRNA from 1 species
GGUUAAGCGACUAAGCGUACACGGUGGAUGCCCUGGCAGUCAGAGGCGAUGAAGGACGUGCUAAUCUGCGAUAAGCGUCGGUAAGGUGAUAUGAACCGUUAUAACCGGCGAUUUCCGAAUGGGGAAACCCAGUGUGAUUCGUCACACUAUCAUUAACUGAAUCCAUAGGUUAAUGAGGCGAACCGGGGGAACUGAAACAUCUAAGUACCCCGAGGAAAAGAAAUCAACCGAGAUUCCCCCAGUAGCGGCGAGCGAACGGGGAGCAGCCCAGAGCCUGAAUCAGUGUGUGUGUUAGUGGAAGCGUCUGGAAAGGCGCGCGAUACAGGGUGACAGCCCCGUACACAAAAAUGCACAUAUUGUGAGCUCGAUGAGUAGGGCGGGACACGUGGUAUCCUGUCUGAAUAUGGGGGGACCAUCCUCCAAGGCUAAAUACUCCUGACUGACCGAUAGUGAACCAGUACCGUGAGGGAAAGGCGAAAAGAACCCCGGCGAGGGGAGUGAAAAAGAACCUGAAACCGUGUACGUACAAGCAGUGGGAGCACGCUUAGGCGUGUGACUGCGUACCUUUUGUAUAAUGGGUCAGCGACUUAUAUUCUGUAGCAAGGUUAACCGAAUAGGGGAGCCGAAGGGAAACCGAGUCUUAACUGGGCGUUAAGUUGCAGGGUAUAGACCCGAAACCCGGUGAUCUAGCCAUGGGCAGGUUGAAGGUUGGGUAACACUAACUGGAGGACCGAACCGACUAAUGUUGAAAAAUUAGCGGAUGACUUGUGGCUGGGGGUGAAAGGCCAAUCAAACCGGGAGAUAGCUGGUUCUCCCCGAAAGCUAUUUAGGUAGCGCCUCGUGAAUUCAUCUCCGGGGGUAGAGCACUGUUUCGGCAAGGGGGUCAUCCCGACUUACCAACCCGAUGCAAACUGCGAAUACCGGAGAAUGUUAUCACGGGAGACACACGGCGGGUGCUAACGUCCGUCGUGAAGAGGGAAACAACCCAGACCGCCAGCUAAGGUCCCAAAGUCAUGGUUAAGUGGGAAACGAUGUGGGAAGGCCCAGACAGCCAGGAUGUUGGCUUAGAAGCAGCCAUCAUUUAAAGAAAGCGUAAUAGCUCACUGGUCGAGUCGGCCUGCGCGGAAGAUGUAACGGGGCUAAACCAUGCACCGAAGCUGCGGCAGCGACGCUUAUGCGUUGUUGGGUAGGGGAGCGUUCUGUAAGCCUGUGAAGGUGUGCUGUGAGGCAUGCUGGAGGUAUCAGAAGUGCGAAUGCUGACAUAAGUAACGAUAAAGCGGGUGAAAAGCCCGCUCGCCGGAAGACCAAGGGUUCCUGUCCAACGUUAAUCGGGGCAGGGUGAGUCGACCCCUAAGGCGAGGCCGAAAGGCGUAGUCGAUGGGAAACAGGUUAAUAUUCCUGUACUUGGUGUUACUGCGAAGGGGGGACGGAGAAGGCUAUGUUGGCCGGGCGACGGUUGUCCCGGUUUAAGCGUGUAGGCUGGUUUUCCAGGCAAAUCCGGAAAAUCAAGGCUGAGGCGUGAUGACGAGGCACUACGGUGCUGAAGCAACAAAUGCCCUGCUUCCAGGAAAAGCCUCUAAGCAUCAGGUAACAUCAAAUCGUACCCCAAACCGACACAGGUGGUCAGGUAGAGAAUACCAAGGCGCUUGAGAGAACUCGGGUGAAGGAACUAGGCAAAAUGGUGCCGUAACUUCGGGAGAAGGCACGCUGAUAUGUAGGUGAAGUCCCUCGCGGAUGGAGCUGAAAUCAGUCGAAGAUACCAGCUGGCUGCAACUGUUUAUUAAAAACACAGCACUGUGCAAACACGAAAGUGGACGUAUACGGUGUGACGCCUGCCCGGUGCCGGAAGGUUAAUUGAUGGGGUCAGCGCAAGCGAAGCUCUUGAUCGAAGCCCCGGUAAACGGCGGCCGUAACUAUAACGGUCCUAAGGUAGCGAAAUUCCUUGUCGGGUAAGUUCCGACCUGCACGAAUGGCGUAAUGAUGGCCAGGCUGUCUCCACCCGAGACUCAGUGAAAUUGAACUCGCUGUGAAGAUGCAGUGUACCCGCGGCAAGACGGAAAGACCCCGUGAACCUUUACUAUAGCUUGACACUGAACAUUGAGCCUUGAUGUGUAGGAUAGGUGGGAGGCUUUGAAGUGUGGACGCCAGUCUGCAUGGAGCCGACCUUGAAAUACCACCCUUUAAUGUUUGAUGUUCUAACGUUGACCCGUGAUCCGGGUUGCGGACAGUGUCUGGUGGGUAGUUUGACUGGGGCGGUCUCCUCCUAAAGAGUAACGGAGGAGCACGAAGGUUGGCUAAUCCUGGUCGGACAUCAGGAGGUUAGUGCAAUGGCAUAAGCCAGCUUGACUGCGAGCGUGACGGCGCGAGCAGGUGCGAAAGCAGGUCAUAGUGAUCCGGUGGUUCUGAAUGGAAGGGCCAUCGCUCAACGGAUAAAAGGUACUCCGGGGAUAACAGGCUGAUACCGCCCAAGAGUUCAUAUCGACGGCGGUGUUUGGCACCUCGAUGUCGGCUCAUCACAUCCUGGGGCUGAAGUAGGUCCCAAGGGUAUGGCUGUUCGCCAUUUAAAGUGGUACGCGAGCUGGGUUUAGAACGUCGUGAGACAGUUCGGUCCCUAUCUGCCGUGGGCGCUGGAGAACUGAGGGGGGCUGCUCCUAGUACGAGAGGACCGGAGUGGACGCAUCACUGGUGUUCGGGUUGUCAUGCCAAUGGCACUGCCCGGUAGCUAAAUGCGGAAGAGAUAAGUGCUGAAAGCAUCUAAGCACGAAACUUGCCCCGAGAUGAGUUCUCCCUGACUCCUUGAGAGUCCUGAAGGAACGUUGAAGACGACGACGUUGAUAGGCCGGGUGUGUAAGCGCAGCGAUGCGUUGAGCUAACCGGUACUAAUGAACCGUGAGGCUUAACCUU